GACGAACGCUGGCGGCGUGCUUAACACAUGCAAGUCGAACGGGCCUGUCUUCUUUUUUGGGGGUGGGUUGAGUGGCGAACGGGUGAGUAUCACGUGAGUAACCUGCCCUUCGGUCCUGGAUAACCGCUUGAAAGGGCGGCUAAUACGGGGUGGUCCGGUUGGUCCGCAUGGGCUGGUCGGGAUAGAUUCACUGUUUUUGGUGUUUCGGCGGGGGAUGGGCUCGCGGCCUAUCAGCUUGUUGGUGGGGUGAUGGCCUACCAAGGCGGUGACGGGUAGCCGGGCUGAGGGGGUGGGCGGCCACACUGGGACUGAGGUACGGCCCAGACUGCUGCGGGGGGCAGCAGUGGGGGGUAUUGCACAAUGGGCGGAAGCCUGAUGCAGCGACGUCGCGUGAGGGAGGGAGGCCUUCGGGUUGUGAACCUCUGUUUCCGGUGGUGAAGGCCCUGUCCGUGUGGUGGGGUUGACGGUAGCCGGGGAUGAAGCGCCGGCUAACUACGUG
rnacentral:rRNA from 1 species